GACGAACGCUGGCGGCGUGCCUAAUACAUGCAAGUCGAGCGGACUUGAAGGAGUGCUUGCACUCCUGAGAGUUAGCGGCGGACGGGUGAGUAACACGUAGGCAACCUGCCCUCAAGACUGGGAUAACUACCGGAAACGGUAGCUAAUACCGGAUAAUUUAUUACAUAGCAUUAUGUGAUAAUGAAAGACGGAGCAAUCUGUCACUUGGGGAUGGGCCUGCGGCGCAUUAGCUAGUUGGUGGGGUAACGGCCCACCAAGGCGACGAUGCGUAGCCGACCUGAGAGGGUGAACGGCCACACUGGGACUGAGACACGGCCCAGACUCCUACGGGAGGCAGCAGUAGGGAAUCUUCCGCAAUGGGCGAAAGCCUGACGGAGCAACGCCGCGUGAGUGAUGAAGGUUUUCGGAUCGUAAAGCUCUGUUGCCAAGGAAGAACGUCUCAUAGAGUAACUGCUAUGAGAGUGACGGUACUUGAGAAGAAAGCCCCGGCUAACUACGUG
rnacentral:rRNA from 1 species